CCACUACCCGCCCCACUACUCCGCCAACCGCCAGUUCCGCUCGAGACCGCUUGGGGAGUUUAUUCUUUCGCGUGUCGGUGUGACUUAACCUUAUCUAAACCUAUAUUGUCGAACGAUAUUUUAUGAUGUUAUAUGCUUUUUUUUCAUAUAUUCGGUUGAAUAUAUAAAUGACAUAUUACAGUCAAAUAUACUAACAAGGUCACUGAUAUCAAAGCACACGUGAAUUCCCUGAAUCACCGGAAGCAUGUUACAUCAUAUGCUAUCGUAACACGUGCUACGAUUGCACACGCGGACGAUCGUUCCCGUUGUCGCGCACUAGAAGAAGGCGGCCCGUUAAAUUCAUUACGAGAAAGCAGAUGUCGCGGAAGUAACGGAUGUUUCAUUAUAUAUACGAGCAUCGUGGUAAGAGAUAUAAAUCAAUCUUGGAAUCUGAUGGCGAAAAGACCAUUAUGAGAAUUAUGCGUUAAGAAGAAACUGAUCUCACGAGUGAGACGAAUCGUCUCUCAGGAUUAUUAUGCGCGCGUUGCCCAAGAUGACGGCUUGUUACGACAGAGAAUGCCCUUAGGCGUUCCCUUUCGAGAUCGAAGACGAUGUUGAUAUCAGAUGACUAAUCGCGAUCGUCUCACUUAUGUGGCACUUGUGACGACACACGUGAGUUCAAUGUCCCGUGUCGUUAGAUGCUUCUACCGAAACACUCUUACAUACGUUUCGUAAGAACGCAAGAGAGCAAUAUUAAAUUCAUUUCGCAUUUUUAUGCAAUGUAUAUUUGUAAUAUAAAAUUUUCUAUUCUUGUCGCAGAACUUUUUAUUUUGCGGUCUUAAACGAUAUAUUCUUUAUAUGAAUUUAAAAAAAUGUUUAUCUUACUUUUAUUAAACAUCCAUACAUCUAUUUAAAAAAUAAUACACAUAAACCAUCCUUAUCGCUUUCUCGUUUAUUUAAUAUUUAAUUUAUAGAAUAAUGAUUAAUUAAUAUUUGAAUAAAUUCGAGACGCGCGAUGACAGUUGAGAAAUUGAAACUUUGCUUAGGUGCUUUUUCUCAACAUAUGCAUCUGUGACGCAAAUGAGGUCAUAUUAGCGCCAAUGUCACUGAUGCAAUCCACGCGCAGAUGUAUAUAGGCAGGUCAUAAUACUCGUUGCAAUCGACGAUAUAGAGACACUCAUUAUACACUCCCGCAAGAAAUUCCGCGCUAAAUCGCCAUACAAGUCCGGAAUUAUUCGGCUAAUUACGUUGGACUAUAAUCGCGGAGGUAAUUAGACACCAAGCAAGUUGUGUAUCGUUUUCCCCACUAUAUAAUGAUUACGAUUAACGCUGACAAAAUGAUUACGCAAGUAACGAGCAAUUUCUUCACGAAUCGGAAUGCAUAAGACAACGAGGACUCGUCUAUGUGUUCUCACGAAAGCUCGAGGAGCCUUGGCAUCCAAUCGCCUUCUUAAUUCGAUAAAUUUUAUCGCGCCGGGCAAUGUGUGGUAAUGUGUUGGUACACAAUCGUGAGCACACACAUGCGCACGUGGGUACCAUGCCCUCACGAUCUCGGCUCGGAUUUAGCAAUCCGUAUACAUGGCUGGAAAGGAUUUGGCAACGCAACGAAAGAUCGAUAGACCGCCUCCCUGUCGUGCCGCAUCGGAUUCAAUAUUUACCGAAUCUUCGGCGGAAAGGCGUCUCCUAAAAAGAUUAUUAUUAUUAUUUUUUUUUUAAUACACAAUGAACGGCGACGGGAAUAGCGGCGAGAAAACGGAUCCGGGCGCUAUCAGACACGGGAACUUCAUAAAUUAUUACCAAUUCCAUCCUGCGGAAGAGCGCGUGCGGCAACUUCCGCGUGGCGUGUGGCAGCGACGACGGGACGCUCAUCCGGCCCGGAAAUACACGGGUCUAGACGUCGGCUGUAACGCCGGGAAUCUCACAUACAUGUUAUACGAUUUCCUCGAGAAGACUAUGUCCCAAGAUCAGCCCGAGAUCUCUUUAAUCGGUGUGGAUCUCGAUCCAAUUCUGAUCGAGAGAGCGCGCGAAGGUAAUCGGCGCCCGGAUCGUCUGACCUUCGAGUGUCUGGACUUUUUGUCCGAUGAUUGCGGCGAGACGUUGAGGAAGCAUCUGGCGCAGCUUCAUAAAACGCGAUUCGACGUGGUGUUCUGCUUCUCGAUCACUAUGUGGAUUCAUCUGAAUCAUGGUGAUGACGGUCUGGAGGAGUUUCUACGAAAAGCUUGCGAUUUAUCGGAAAUGAUCGUCAUCGAGCCGCAGCCUUGGAAAUGUUACAGAAAUGCAUCGAGAAGGCUACGAAGAGUGAAAUCGGAGGACUUUCCUUUGCUGAAGGAACUAAAAUACACCGGCAAUCCGACGCAGCAUAUUGAGGACAUUUUGACGAGGCUGUGCGAUUUUCGAAAAGUCACCGUCACCGCGGGUAACGAUUGGGGACGCACGCUUUUGAUUUACGAAAGAAAGUAGCGAUUGUAAAAUCAACUCAACUUAUGAGAGGAAUCAACUCCUUUUAAGAAAGGGAGUUGCUGCAUUUUUUAUAUUAUAAUUAAAAAAUAAAAAAGAGAUUUAUUAAAGAAGAAGAUAAAGAAAGAUUAUGAAAUAUAAUUUUAUUGAAUAAGUAAAAUAGUCCAUAUAAAAAAGAUGAUGUAAAGACAUAACGAGUAAUGGUAAAACAGAACAAAAUUAACGACGAGGUUCGCAAAAGAUACGAGAUGGCGGUAACGGAGUCGCCG